UACAGAGGGUGCUAGCGUUAAUCGGAAUUACUGGGCGUAAAGCGUGUGUAGGUGGUUAGAUAAGUUAGAUGUGAAAUCCCCGGGCUUAACCUGGGGACUGCGUUUAAGACUGUUUAGCUUGAGUACUGUAGAGGAUAGUGGAAUUUCCAGUGUAGCGGUGAAAUGCGUAGAUAUUGGAAGGAACACCAGUGGCGAAGGCGACUAUCUGGACGGAUACUGACACUGAGACACGAAAGCGUGGGGAGCAAACAGG
rnacentral:rRNA from 1 species